rnacentral:rRNA from 1 species
AGUGAACGCUGGCGGCAGGCCUAACACAUGCAAGUCGAACGGCAGCACAGUAAGAGCCUGCUCUCACGGGUGGCGAGUGGCGGACGGGUGAGGAAUACAUCGGAAUCUACUUUUUCGUGGGGGAUAACGUAGGGAAACUUACGCGAAUACCGCAUAUGACCUACGGGUGAAAGCAGGGGAUCUUCGGACCUUGUGCGAUUGAAUGAGCCGAUGUCGGCUUAGCUAGUUGGCGGGUUAAAGGCCCAGCAAGGCGACGAUCCGUAGCUGGUAGGAGCGGAUGAUCAGACACACGGUAACUGAGACACGGUCGAGACUCCUGCAGGGGGAAGCAGUGGAGAAUAUUGGAGGAGGGAGGCAAGCCUGAUCCAGCCAUACCGCGUAGGUGCAGAAGGCCUUAGGGUUGGAAAGCCCUUUUGUUGGGAGAGAAAAAAAGCAGGUUAAUACCGCACUAUUCUGACGGUACCAGAAGAAUAAGCACCGGCUAACUUCGUG